CUAAGCAGCAUAAAUACCAUGAAGACAUCAGAUCCCAUAUGAUCAUGGAAGCUAAGCAGAGUUAGUACCUGGUUAGUACUUGGCUGGGGGACCUCCAAUGAAUAGGCCGUGUUACAUAGG
rnacentral:rRNA from 1 species